UGGGGAAUUUUGGACAAUGGGCGAAAGCCUGAUCCAGCAAUGCCGCGUGUGUGAAGAAGGCCUUCGGGUUGUAAAGCACUUUUGUCCGGAAAGAAGUCCUUGGCUCUAAUACAGUCGGGGGAUGACGGUACCGGAAGAAUAAGCACCGGCUAACUACGUGCCAGCAGCCGCGGUAAUACGUAGGGUGCAAGCGUUAAUCGGAAUUACUGGGCGUAAAGCGUGCGCAGGCGGUUUGCUAAGACCGAUGUGAAAUCCCCGGGCUCAACCUGGGAACUGCAUUGGUGACUGGCAGGCUAGAGUAUGGCAGAGGGGGGUAGAAUUCCACGUGUAGCAGUGAAAUGCGUAGAGAUGUGGAGGAAUACCGAUGGCGAAGGCAGCCCCCUGGGCCAAAUACUGACGCUCAUGCACGAAAGCGUGGGGAGCAAAACAGGAUUAGAUACCCUGGUAGUCCACGCCCUAAAACGAUGUCAACUAGUUGUUGGGGAUUCAUUUCCUUAGUAACGUAGCUAACGCGUGAAGUUGACCGCCUGGGGAGUACGGUCGC
rnacentral:rRNA from 1 species